CAGGCCAUGCUUUUCUCAAGGAUGUUCUGUCAGGGCGAGUAAUUGGAGGCCAUGAGGCUCAGCCAAACAGCUGGAAGUGGCAGGUAUCACUUCAGAUGGCCUGUGCAGAUUACCCUGGAUAUUAUAGGCACAUCUGUGGUGGAACCCUUAUCAGUAGUAACUGGGUCAUGACUGCAGCCCACUGUCUCAGAGUGCCAUUAGAAGCAAUAUACCGAGUGGCUCUGGGUGAACACAAUCUUUUUGAGGUGGAUG